UUGAACUCAGGAGACGGAGGUUGCAGUGAGCCGAGAUCGUGCCAUUGCACUCCAGCCUGGGUAACAAGAGCGAAACUCCGUCUCAAAAAAAAAAAAGAAAAAAAAUCUUUACCGUACAAGCCAGCCUUUAUCUAAAAGUGAUGAGAGCUUUACAGGAGAUUUCCUAGUAAGAAAAGCUUCUGACUGAAAAAGCAAAAAAGAAAGAGAUAUGAGAGGCAAGAGAUCUUCCAGUCAGGAUCGUGAAUAAUUUUUAUGUCAUUCUCAGUAGUGGGAAGCCAUUGAAGAGUUUGGGGCAAGGGGGUGUAAUGAUAUGGUUUAGCUUUUUUAAAAGAAAUCACUGGCUACUGUAUGUGGAAUGAAUUGAAAAGGGACAAAAUUAAAAGCAAGACAAUAAAUUAGGAUAACAUUGUAGUAGUCGAGGUAGAAGUGAUAGGGGCUUCAAUUAGGAGGAUGUCAGUGGAGACUGGGGAAGAGAAGUUGAUAGGUUGAGGAUAUGUUUGGAUGUAGAGCCCACAGGACUUGAUGAAUUGUACAUUGAGUAUUAGAAUAAGAGGAAUCAAAAGGUUUUGUUUAGCUUGAGGUGUUGGUGGUACUGCCAUUUACUGAGAUACGGUAGACUGACAGAAGAGUGAGAAGGAACUUAAUAACACUGGUCAUACUAAAUUUGAGAUGUCUGUUUGACAUUUUUGCUCUGAAGUAUGUUUUACGUCUUUAUAACUACUGAGAUUCUAAUUCCAUAUCUUUUUAUAGCUUCUCUAGGGAAAAGGAGACCUUCUGCCUACCUUAUUUUGUUUGUACAAAAGCACACUAAAAUUGUAUGGAUUUCAUUAGGCCACAACUUGCGUUCAAUUUUUUUACUCUCCGCUUCCCUCUUUUACUUGUUUAUUUCACUUCUGUUCACUAUCAGUUGCUCUGUCCACUUAUGAUAGUCAGUUUUGGCAGGUUACUCCUCUGUAUUCAUUUAUUCAGUCAACAGAUAUUUAUUGAGCACCUACUAGGUUGCAGCCCUGGCACUGCACUUAGACGCACAAUGGUGAGGGAGAAGAAACCAGUUUUUUUCAUAAAGUGUCCAGUCUAGUGAGGAAAGUAAAAAAAAUAAAAUAAU